rnacentral:rRNA from 1 species
GACGAACGCUGGCGGCGUGCUUAACACAUGCAAGUCGAACGGUGAAGCGCCUUCCUUUUUGGUGGGUGUGGAUGAGUGGCGAACGGGUGAGUAACACGUGAGUAACCUGCCCCCUUCUUCUGGAUAACCGCAUGAAAGUGUGGCUAAUACGGGAUAUUCUGGGUCUGUCGCAUGAUGGGUCUGGGAAAGAUUUUGUUUCGGUGGGGGAUGGGCUCGCGGCCUAUCAGCUUGUUGGUGGGGUGAUGGCCUACCAAGGCGGUGACGGGUAGCCGGCCUGAGAGGGUGGACGGUCACACUGGGACUGAGACACGGCCAAGACUCCUACGGGAGGCAGCAGUGGGGAAUAUUGCACAAUGGGCGCAAGCCUGAUGCAGCGACGCCGCGUGAGGGAUGGAGGCCUUCGGGUUGUGAACCUCUUUCGCCAGUGAAGCAGGCCUGCCUCGUUUGUGGGUGGGUUGACGGUAGCUGGAUAAGAAGCGCCGGCUAACUACGUG